GGGAAUAUUGGACAAUGGGCGAAAGCCUGAUCCAGCCAUGCCGCGUGUGUGAAGAAGGUCUUCGGAUUGUAAAGCACUUUAAGUUGGGAGGAAGGGCAGUAAGUUAAUACCUUGCUGUUUUGACGUUACCGACAGAAUAAGCACCGGCUAACUCUGUGCCAG
rnacentral:rRNA from 1 species